rnacentral:rRNA from 1 species
UGCCAGCCGCCGCGGUAAUACGGAGGGGGUUAGCGUUGUUCGGAAUUACUGGGCGUAAAGCGCGCGUAGGCGGAUUGGAAAGUUAGAGGUGAAAUCCCAGGGCUCAACCCUGGAACUGCCUUUAAAACUCCCAGUCUUGAGUUCGAGAGAGGUGAGUGGAAUUCCGAGUGUAGAGGUGAAAUUCGUAGAUAUUCGGAGGAACACCAGUGGCGAAGGCGGCCUCCGGGCUUAAUACUGACGCUGAGGUGCAAAAGCGUGGGUAGCAAACAGGAUUAGAUA